rnacentral:rRNA from 1 species
GACGAACGCUGGCGGCGUGCCUAAUACAUGCAAGUUGAGCGCUGAAGGUUGGUACUUGUACCAACUGGAUGAGCAGCGAACGGGUGAGUAACGCGUGGGGAAUCUGCCUUUGAGCGGGGGACAACAUUUGGAAACGAAUGCUAAUACCGCAUAAAAACUUUAAACACAAGUUUUAAGUUUGAAAGAUGCAAUUGCAUCACUCAAAGAUGAUCCCGCGUUGUAUUAGCUAGUUGGUGAGGUAAAGGCUCACCAAGGCGAUGAUACAUAGCCGACCUGAGAGGGUGAUCGGCCACAUUGGGACUUAGACACGGCCCAAACUCCUACGGGAGGCAGCAGUAGGGAAUCUUCGGCAAUGGACGAAAGUCUGACCGAGCAACGCCGCGUGAGUGAAGAAGGUUUUCGGAUCGUAAAACUCUGUUGGUAGAGAAGAACGUUGGUGAGAGUGGAAAGCUCAUCAAGUGACGGUAACUACCCAGAAAGGGACGGCUAACUACGUG